rnacentral:tRNA from 1 species
AGAGUAGGUUAAUUUUUGACUGUUUGUUUUCAAAACAUGAGGUGAUUUUUUUGUCCUUUA